CAACAGAUUUAUUAGAUUAAAUAUUUUAAUCUAUUUUAUAUGCAUAAGAUCUAAUCUAGACUACCAUGCUAAGAAUUAUAGUAUGAUUUAAUAUGAACUUAAGAUCUGAAAAUAAAAAUCUAUAUCAAUCUAAUCGAUGCUGCAGACUAGAUCUAAACCUUAGAACUAUCAAAACUAGUCUAACAAGUUCAAAACUUGUUACCAGAUUAUGGGUUGCUAAUCUCCACAAAUAUCUUGCAUAGGAGAGAGUUUCUUCAGGUUGCUCACAGCGGCAUGAAGAAGUCCAACCUCUACAGAUCUUUCACACGAAGACUAGUGC
rnacentral:lncRNA from 1 species